UUGAAAGGGAAACGAUUGAAGUCAGUCGUACCAGCGGAUAAUCAGCCUUUAGAUGCGAUUUUAUGGAGCGUGAGGAGCUAAUCGCCUUCAUGUCUGUAUAUUCGUGUACUUUGGGUGUACUUAUUCGUGUGGUAAGUUAACAUCAAUUUUGGUUGUCAUAAAAUGAUUGGAGGAAUGUAGCUUCGAUCUCGUAUUGAAGUGUUAUAGCCUUUGGUAGAUGUGAUGAUCGGGAUUGAGGAUUGCAACGGAUACCCUUCGGGGCUACCUGUCUGAUCUCUGAUUGUUGCUCUGGUGCUGAAAGCUUGCUUAUGGUUAUCAAAGUCGAUGGUCAAUAGGUUAGAAUGGGUUAAAUUCGUUAAGGAUGUUGACGUA
rnacentral:rRNA from 1 species